rnacentral:lncRNA from 1 species
UCGCCCCACUUUAAAAAAAAAAACUGCCCCAACCUGGAUAACCAAAUCGCCCCACUUGUGAAAUGUGUUAUAUCCCUUAAUAUUACUCCUGCCAACUUGCCCCACCUAAUAGAAAACGAUAAUAUCUAGAUAAAUAUAUUAUUAACCAGGAAGAAUUUACUAAUGCCAACUCGCCCCACUCAUGUAAAAAGAUGUUAUCCCGUUGUAUAUAAG